rnacentral:pre_miRNA from 1 species
GAUAUACUCCUUCCGUCCGGAAAUACUUGCCGGAGGAAUAGAUGUAUCUAGUCGUAUUUUAGUUUUAGAUGCAUUCAUUUUUAUCCAUUUUUGCGACAAGUAUUUCGGGAGGGGGAGUAAAUG